UACAGAGACUGCAAGCGUUAUUCGGAUUCACUGGGCGUAAAGGGUGCGCAGGCGGUCGGGUGUGUCAGAUGUGAAAUCCCGAGGCUCAACCUCGGAACUGCGUCUGAAACUACUCGACUAGAGUACUGGAGAGGGAAACGGAAUUCACGGUGUAGCAGUGAAAAUGCGUAGAUAUCGUGAGGAACACCAGAGGCGAAGGCGGUUUCCUGGACAGUUACUGACGCUCAGGCACGAAAGCAUGGGGAGCAAAAGGG
rnacentral:rRNA from 1 species